rnacentral:rRNA from 1 species
UCUGCGAAAAGCGUCGGUAAGGUGAUAUGAACCGUUAUAACCGGCGAUGUCCGAAUGGGGAAACCCAGUGCAAUUCGUUGCACUAUCGUUAACUGAAUACAUAGGUUAACGAGGCGAACCGGGGGAACUGAAACAUCUAAGUACCCCGAGGAAAAGAAAUCAACCGAGAUUCCCCCAGUAGCGGCGAGCGAACGGGGAGCAGCCCAGAGUCUGAAUCAGCUUGUGUGUUAGUGGAACGGUCUGGAAAGUCCGACGGUACAGGGUGAUAGUCCCGUACACCAAAAUGCACAGGCUGUGAACUCGAAGAGUAGGGCGGGACACGUGGUAUCCUGUCUGAAUAUGGGGGGACCAUCCUCCAAGGCUAAAUACUCCUGACUGACCGAUAGUGAACCAGUACCGUGAGGGAAAGGCGAAAAGAACCCCGGCGAGGGGAGUGAAAAAGAACCUGAAACCGUGUACGUACAAGCAGUGGGAGCACCUUCGGGUGUGACUGCGUACCUUUUGUAUAAUGGGUCAGCGACUUAUAUUCUGUAGCAAGGUUAACCGUAUAGGGGAGCCGCAGGGAAACCGAGUCUUAACUGGGCGUUAAGUUGCAGGGUAUAGACCCGAAACCCGGUGAUCUAGCCAUGGGCAGGUUGAAGGUUGGGUAACACUAACUGGAGGACCGAACCGACUAAUGUUGAAAAAUUAGCGGAUGACUUGUGGCUGGGGGUGAAAGGCCAAUCAAACCGGGAGAUAGCUGGUUCUCCCCGAAAGCUAUUUAGGUAGCGCCUCGUGAAUUCAUCUUCGGGGGUAGAGCACUGUUUCGGCUAGGGGGUCAUCCCGACUUACCAACCCGAUGCAAACUACGAAUACCGAAGAAUGUUAUCACGGGAGACACACGGCGGGUGCUAACGUCCGUCGUGAAGAGGGAAACAACCCAGACCGCCAGCUAAGGUCCCAAAGUCAUGGUUAAGUGGGAAACGAUGUGGGAAGGCACAGACAGCCAGGAUGUUGGCUUAGAAGCAGCCAUCAUUUAAAGAAAGCGUAAUAGCUCACUGGUCGAGUCGGCCUGCGCGGAAGAUGUAACGGGGCUAAACCAUGCACCGAAGCUGCGGCAGCGACACUAUGUGUUGUUGGGUAGGGGAGCG